GGGAAUGUGGCUUAGUGGUAGAGUACUUGCCUAGCAUGCAUGAAGCCCUGGUUCAAUUCCCCAGUACCA
rnacentral:tRNA from 1 species